AUUGAACGCUGGCGGCAGGCCUAACACAUGCAAGUCGAACGGCAGCACAGUAAGAGCUUGCUCUUAUGGGUGGCGAGUGGCGGACGGGUGAGGAAUACAUCGGAAUCUACCUUUUCGUGGGGGAUAACGUAGGGAAACUUACGCUAAUACCGCAUACGACCUCGGUGAAGACAGGGACCGUCGGUCCGUUCGUCGCUAUC
rnacentral:rRNA from 1 species